rnacentral:rRNA from 1 species
CGGAGGGAUCAUUACAAGUUGACCCCGGCCCUCGGGCCGGGAUGUUCACAACCCUUUGUUGUCCGACUCUGUUGCCUCCGGGGCGACCCUGCCUCCGGGCGGGGGCCCCGGGUGGACAUUUCAAACUCUUGCGUAACUUUGCAGUCUGAGUAAAUUUAAUUAAUAAAUUAAAACUUUCAACAACGGAUCUCUUGGUUCUGGCAUCGAUGAAGAACGCAGCGAAAUGCGAUAAGUAAUGUGAAUUGCAGAAUUCAGUGAAUCAUCGAAUCUUUGAACGCACAUUGCGCCCCCUGGUAUUCCGGGGGGCAUGCCUGUUCGAGCGUCAUUUCACCACUCAAGCCUCGCUUGGUAUUGGGCGACGCGGUCCGCCGCGCGCCUCAAAUCGACCGGCUGGGUCUUUCGUCCCCUCAGCGUUGUGGAAACUAUUCGCUAAAGGGUGCCGCGGGAGGCCACGCCGUAAAACAACCCCAUUUCUAAGGUUGACCUCGGAUCAGGUAGGGAUACCCGCUGAACUUAAGCAUAUCAAUAAGACGGAGAA